rnacentral:rRNA from 1 species
UACGGGGGGGGCAAGCGUUGUUCGGAAUUACUGGGCGUAAAGGGCUUGUAGGUGGCCAACUAAGUCAGACGUGAAAUCCCUCGGCUUAACCGGGGAACUGCGUCUGAUACUGGAUGGCUUGAGUGUGGGAGAGGGAUGCGGAAUUCCAGGUGUAGCGGUGAAGUGCGUAGAUAUCUGGAGGAACACCGGUGGCGAAGGCGGCAUCCUGGACCAUUACUGACACUGAGAAGCGAAAGCCAGGGGAGCAAACGGG